rnacentral:rRNA from 1 species
AACGAACGCUGGCGGCAUGCCUAACACAUGCAAGUCGAACGAAGGCUUCGGCCUUAGUGGCGCACGGGUGCGUAACGCGUGGGAAUCUGCCCCUUGCUUCGGAAUAACAGUUAGAAAUGACUGCUAAUACCGGAUGAUGUCGCAAGACCAAAGAUUUAUCGGCAAAGGAUGAGCCCGCGUAGGAUUAGCUAGUUGGUGGGGUAAAGGCCUACCAAGGCGACGAUCCUUAGCUGGUCUGAGAGGAUGAUCAGCCACACGGGGACUGAGACACGGCCCAGAACUCAAGGGGGGGAAAGAGGGGGGAAAAUAGGAAAAUGGGGAAAAGCCAGGCACACCAAUGCCGGGGGGGUAAAGAAGGGUUUAGGGUUGAAAAGCUCUUUUACCGGGGAAGAAAAGAAGGGGACGGGGGAAAAAAGCCCCGGUAAAUCCCGG